AACGAACGCUGGCGGCAUGCCUAACACAUGCAAGUCGAACGAGACCUUCGGGUCUAGUGGCGCACGGGUGCGUAACGCGUGGGAACCUGCCUUUAGGUUCGGAAUAACUCAGAGAAAUUUGAGCUAAUACCGGAUGAUGUCUUCGGACCAAAGAUUUAUCGCCUUUAGAUGGGCCCGCGUUGGAUUAGCUAGUUGGUGGGGUAAAGGCCUACCAAGGCGACGAUCCAUAGCUGGUCUGAGAGGAUGAUCAGCCACACUGGGACUGAGACACGGCCCAGACUCCUACGGGAGGCAGCAGUGGGGAAUAUUGGACAAUGGGCGAAAGCAUGAUCCAGCAAUGCCGCGUGAGUGAUGAAGGCCGUAGGGUUGUAAAGCUCUUUUACCCGAGAUGAUAAUGACAGUAUCGGGAGAAUAAGCUCCGGCUAACUCCGUG
rnacentral:rRNA from 1 species